GCUGUAUACAGCUCAUACUAUGGCUUCAAAAAAGUCCUAUUUUUAUGCGUUGGGGAGUAUUAUAAAUACUAAAAUGGUGAACUAGUAGCAGCAAAAAACACAUAGUUUAAAUUGUUCAUACAACAAUAUUACUUGGCAUCUAGUAUUAUUCACAAAUAUGAAGAGAAGUUCCAUCAACGUUUUGGUCAUGACAGUUAUACUAGCAGUGAUUUUAUCAGUUCCGGCGUGUUGGGCAAUGAACUGCCGGACUGAAACCGAAAUUUGUGUAGAAAUCGAUGAUUAUAGAUGUUGCGAAGAGUUAACCUGUGCACUAGAAACUCAAAACCUUCCUCUUGGUAUUGGAGUAUGCGCGCCAUUAGGUCUACCACCACAGCCACCAAAAGAAAAUGAGUGUCGAAAAAUGCAUGAUAUUUGUCAGCUUUACGGUCAGCUCCAAUGCUGUGACAAUAUGCGAUGCGUUCAUACGGGAAAACUUCCUGUUGGUUUAGGAUUAUGCGAAGCCAUAUGAUAUAAUAGUUUAAAUGUUCGCGGCUAAGCAAAAUCUACAAGGCCUUUUUUCUAUAACCACUCUUCUUUCAGGAGUGUUGUUGCUGGUUUAAUGUUUUUGCACUUGGUGUUAUUGAGGGUUUCACCUUGUUAUUGCCUUUCAUCUUUGGAUUGAACCUAUUGUAUUGAUUUCAACGCUCCUUUUUAUAUUUGACAAUCAUUUGAUAUGUUUUUGCCAAUUGACACUUGUGAAGACUCGAGAAGAUGAUCAUAAUUUUGUAACUAUUUUGUUU